rnacentral:rRNA from 1 species
ACUCCUACGGGAGGCAGCAGUCGGGAAUUUUGCGCAAUGGGCGAAAGCCUGACGCAGCAACGCCGCGUGAGGGAUGACGGCCUUCGGGUUGUAAACCUCUUUUGUCAGGGAAGAUGAUGACGGUACCUGGCGAAUAAGCCACGGCUAACUACGUGCCAGCAGCCGCGGUAAUACGUAGGUGGCAAGCGUUGUCCGGAUUUACUGGGCGUAAAGAGCGCGCAGGCGGUCGUCCAAGUCGCGUGUGAAAGCCCCCGGCUCAACUGGGGAGGGUCACGCGAUACUGAUCGACUCGAAGGCAGGAGAGGGUAGUGGAAUUCCCGGUGUAGUGGUGAAAUGCGUAGAUAUCGGGAGGAACACCAGUGGCGAAGGCGACUACCUGGCCUGUUCUUGACGCUGAGGCGCGAAAGCUAGGGGAGCAAACGGGAUUAGAUACCCCGGUAGUCCUAGCCGUAAACGAUGGACACUAGGUGUUGGUGGUAUCAACCCCGCCAGUGCCGAAGCUAACGCAUUAAGUGUCCCGCCUGGGGAGUACGGCCGCAAGGCUAAAACUCAAAGGAAUUGACGG